AGGAGGAGAGAGGAGAGGAAGGAGGAGAGGACUCCCUCUCUGGUUUCCUGGCCGUUUGGGAGGAGUCAGUUCCGGAGCAGAAAUCCUGCCCAGACCGACAAGCCCCGCCCACCAGUCUGGCUUUGUCACGACCAACGAAGAAGAAAAAACUGGUGGCUCCAGCUCUCAGUCUGUCUUUAGGU